GGGGCGUUAGCUCAGGUGGUAGAGCAGCUGCCUUUUAAGCAGCGGGUCGCUGGUUCAAGUCCAGCACGCCUCA
rnacentral:tRNA from 1 species